AGCGGCCCUCUGCCGGGCUCGGUGCGGCCGCGCCCUGGUGGGUAUGGAAUGGAGCGAGCGCCGGGGCUGAAGUCAGCGACGGGAAACCGAGCGACAAAAACAGAAGGUCUCGGCGGCGUGCGGUACAGGAAGGCGCCCAGAGCUCAGGAGCAGCCGCGCUCAGCGGGUCUCGCAGAGCGGAGCGCUUCACGGAACCGCUGCCAGAGAGAGAACCCCGCGCGGAGCCGCCCCCGGGGCUGCAGCGCCGGCAGCGGGCGUGGGGGAAGGCAGAGCCGGGCCUGGGGCUUCGGGCACGCUUCCAUGUCUGACGCCGUUUUGUCAGACCGCCCCUCGGCGCCGUCUGCCACACGGCAGCGCGUCCGGAACGUUGGUGGGAAGAUUCAGCCUCUGCUGCCAUCCCACCAACGUCCACCUCUGAUAUCGUGGGCCAACGUCAUAGAAUAAGAGGCGUUACUUUCAGAGCAGCCCUCGCAUUUUAGACUUCUAUCAAAGAUCAGUAGUUAAUGGUUGCUUUGCAGUUGCAGCAACACUCGUGCUACAAAAGACUAAACGCAGCCAUUAGCAGCCCAGCCCACCAGCAGCAGUACCACAGGUGAAACCUAAUCACUACAAGCACAAGAGUGGCAGAAAAUUCACCACCACACGUAUGUAUGUCCCUGGUGCCUGGCUGCUCGCUUGCAAGCACUUGCGAGAUGGGUGGAGGUCAGCAGGCUUCAAAAGCAGUUGAAAACAAAAAGACAGUUCCUUCUUAAAGGAGAUCCAAUAGCAGGCAGUGCUGGGACACGAUCGCGGACACCAUGGUGUGGUUCCAGCUUGCCAGAAUGAAGGUACAGCGGGCAGCACUCAGCAUCGAAAGCAUGCAAGGGUUUCACAUCUGCAGAGCAGUUGGUCCAUCAAGGAGUUCUCUAUCCACCAACAGGAGAAAAAAGCACCAUGCUCCCCAGCAUUAGAAAGAGCUUGGCCAGUGUGGCAAGGGAAGUGAUUCCACCCCUCUGCUUUGCCCCAGUGAGGCCAUGUCUGGAGUACUGGGUCCAGUUCUGGGCUCCCCAGGCCAAGAAAGACAGGGAACUGCUGAGAGAGUCCAACGGAGGGCCACAGAGAUGAUGUGGGGCCUGGAGCAUCUCCCGUAUGAGGAAAGGCUGAGAGAGCUGGGGCAGUUCAGCCCAGAGAAGAGAAGGCUGAAGGGGGAAUCUUAUCAAUGCAUAUAAUUAUGUAGAGAGCAGGAGUGAAGUGGAUGGGGCCAGAUUCUUUUUGGUGGUGCCCAAUUCUUUGUGGUGGUGCCCAGCAACAGGAGAAGGGGCAAUGGGCACAAACACAGGAAGCUCUAUACAAACACAAGGAAGAACUUCUCUUGAAGAAUAACAGCACUGGCACAAGGCUGCCCAGAGAAGUUGUACAGUCUCCUUCUCUGAAUGUACUCAAAACCUGCCUGGAUGGUUACCUGUGCAACCUACUGUAGGGAACUGCUGGAGCGGGGGGUUGGACUCAGUGACCUCCAGAGAUCUCUUCCAACCCCUGCAAUUCUGUGGUUCUGUGAUCACUCUGAGAAGAGCACAUCUGAGGGACAAGAUGCUCAUGCAGCACAGGACUACUUGACAGAAGCAGUGGGAAGUAUUGUGUCAAGUUCAGCUGGCACAAAUAGAUGUGAGACAGUAACACCUGGGCAACUGCUUGAAAAAGGAUUUGCCAAACUGCUAGGAAAAAGCCAUCAGCUGUUGCUGCAGGUUAUACCACUGCACAAAUGGUAGGCAAAGACAGUAGUAGAGUAAGCAGGCACAGUAACUGGGAUCCUCAUUCCUCAGCCAUGGGCAGAACUAAUUUCAAAAGUGUGCUGAAGGCAGAACUGAGCCAAACACCUCUCUUAGUGGGACCACUGUACAUGGGAACAGCUCCAUCACGUCAGUGUGAAUGGGCCCCACUUUACACCUAGGUGAGGAGCUGCCUGCUUCACCUGGCUGCCAUGCUGCUUCACCCCUUCAGCACAGUUCAGCUUCUUCCAGAGUCAAAAAUAAUUGGUAGUGAACUGGCAAGCAAAUGCCAAACACAAUAACAACAAUUAUAUGCUUGAGCACUCCACAAGGUCUAGCACACAAAGUAUCACCUUUGCUCAUAGCCACAGGGUUUUUUCCAUGUGCUUUCAACUUCUGUCUGUGCUCAUCAUGCUCUGUCCUGGUACACGUGAGCCCUUAUCCCUUUAAUGAUCUGCUCCAUGGCUGAAUUUUGCUUCUGAGCCACAUGAAUGCCUCAUCUAUUUCUCAUCAUGGCCUUGGCAGCACCUGGAGCUCCUGGUGCCCCAUGUGCAGGGAUGUAUUUAGCCCCAGAGCACUGAUGCUACAUGCAAACGGUUUCCUGGAUCUAAGCAGCAGUUUGAUGUUCUCAGCCCAUAGCACGUGUGUGAAAUUCCUUCACUUGUUUAUCUUCAAAAUCCCUUGGGAAAGGUUUUGUUUGUUUGUUUUUAAUAGCAGCUAAGUAUCUAGUUGGCCUUCACAGCCCCAUUCUGUGUGACACUGUUGACACGCUCUCUUGUGUCAUCUCCUGUCUUCUCAGCAGCCCCCAUGGCAGCACUGUCCCCACAGUGGGCAGGCUGGUGGGCACUCCACUGCCUCCAGGGUCUGUCUCACCUCGCCCCUCUGCUUUCCAUCUUGCACAGAAACCCGAGGACCUGAGACUGCCUUCUUCUUCUUCUUCUUCUUCUUCUUCUUCUUCUUCUUCUUUUUUUUUUUUAAGGAAUGUGCUGUGUUGGCAAAUUCUGGUAUUACACCCCAAAGGGAUCCAUUAACAUCCAGGUAGUUACUUCAUAAUAAGCUUUGCAGAUUUGGAUGCAAAGAGGUGCCUCUGACAGGUGUCGUCAGUGGGAUAAGGUGUGUCUGAUGAUGAGAAAAAGUCAGCAGGCAGAGAGGCAGAGUGUCACUGAGGUUCUCUUCAAGUUGGUAACAUUUCCUCAGAGUUACUUUUAACCCCCCUAUCUGGGUGUCCCCAGGAGUUAAGGUUCUGUAGCCCACACACUGGGAAGCUAAAAAAAAUUGGAGAAGUAAAUUAACAAAAUCCCCUUCUUCCCGAUCAAACCAUUUUUCCCAAGUGAGAAAAAUAGAAGCAUUGUCUCUUGCAUUCUCCUGCUCCCCGUUUUUAAUUAUUAGGAUGUCUUUUCAAAUCUGUAGCAUUUUAUCAUUUUCUUUUGUCUUCCCCUAAUCAGUAGCAUUGAUAAUCUCACAUGUUCACUAAUGAUUAGUCCAUAUUUACAAUAAACACUGGGUUUUCUUCUGCCUCAUAUGUUCUGAUCCCUCACUGUGCUCAGGCUUUACCCUGUAAAUCAGGACUCAAACAAGCCCUAGCUUUUUGUCCUCUCCAGAAGCUGAAAUUUGUUUGUAACAACUCGCUCUUAGGGCAUGGGGCUUCAGUUCACAUCCUGAAAACUGCUGGGCUUACAAUUAAAUGGUGAGAUCUAGCCAGUUUCUGAGAUUAAUAGAGAUAAUAGUUCAAACAACUUCACCUGGUAAUUCAUAAAAUCACAGAAUUGAUCAGGUUGGAAAAGGCCUUCAAGAUCAUCAAUUCCAACUGCAACCUAACCACACACUACCCUAACAACCCUCCCCUAAACCAUGUUGCUGAGCACCACAUCCAAACGGUUUUUAAACACAUCCAGGGAUGGUGACUCAGCCACCUCCCUGGGGAGCCUAUUCCAGUGCUUAACCACCCUGUCUGUAAAGAAGUUCUUCCUAAUAUCCAACCUAAACCUCCCCUGGUGCAACUUGAGGCCAUUUCCCCUCGUCCUGUCACCUGUCACCAGUGAGAAGUAAACCCAAGAUUUGUUAGUAGGUUUCAUGCUUUGUUAUUGUUCUAAACUGCUCAAGAUGCAAAGGAAAAUGUCCGGCAAUAACUGCAAAUAAGUGCAAAGACACUGUUGAGGGAAGGCUGUGCAGGAGGCAGGGAAGAGUGGGGAUAACCUCUCAGGUUGUUUCCUGAGGUGUGUGAUGAUCACAGACUAUCACACGAGGCUGGUCACAAUUCAGCCUGCCCACGAGCUUCGUGUAUGGGCAAGUAACAAAUUACCAUUGUCUCCUAUUUUCUAUUUAAGAAGAAAAUAAAAUGACUUUAGCAAAAAAGAAAAUAGUUCGGGACAGGAUCAAUGUUUGUGUGAGGUACAGUAAUGACCUUUCUUAACCAAAAGACAUUUCAAAAUAAGAACCUGAAAGUGACUGAAAGCUUCAGAUAUUCACUGGUAGCUGAUAAGCUGGGGAGAAGCAGGUGAGCUGCUGGCAGAAAAGCUGCCAGAGGGAAUGUCUGCGUGCAAGGAACAAGCAGAGGAAUUACAGAUGCUUAUCGCAAAAUGGAAUUCUUAGGAUGUCUCAGCAUCAGGAGAAAAAAAUGUGACUUAGCUUUCAACGUUUGACAGAAUGCCUUGGCUGGGUGUGGGGAGCACAGGACACACACAGCCCGCUCCCCGACCCAAGUGCUGAGAUGCCCAGGCCUAUCAGUGCUGGCCUUCUGCCAGGAGCUGCAGAGGAGGGACGGCUAGGGGGUCCAAGUAGCAACAUGUCUGGCACACCAUCUGCCAGGUGUAGCAGGGACCAGAUGCUCAAGUUACUUCUUUAUUCUGCCAUGAUGGAACAAGCCAGGGAGGAAGGGAGAUUUUUUCCCAAAACGUUUUCCUUUUUCCUCCUUUACUGCAAGCCCGAACCACCCCUCACAACCACCUACAGCUUCUUAUGACCAUGAGGUGCACCUGUUACUUUUCAGCAUUUUUCUUCUUUGCUCUCAUUCAAUGAGAAAGCCUCUUCCAAUGCACAAAGAAGUGCUUAGGUAAACCGGAGCCAAAGACACUCCAUGACCACAGAUUUUGUCUUUUGGUCCACAUGGAGGUGCUGGGAAGCAGUGUGCCUCCAGGGCUGGCUGGGGGCUCAUGGCCUGGCAGCUGUACAGGGUGUGUGGAGCUGUUGUUAGGCCAGAACUGCAGGCCUGCCUGCCAAGGCAGCAGUCUGACAUGGCUUUCCCAGGCCUGUAGGUCUGUGCAAAGGGCCAUGUCAGCCCAAACAACCACGCUCUCUCUUCCCAGCUCACCUGUGGGAAAGGACCAUGUUUGUGCUUCACCCCAGUGCCUGUUUGGAGGAAAACAUUCCCUUUUAAACCAUGUCCGUAUGCCUGAUUGACAAGCAGUAAAUGAGCUGCCACUGCUCCAUCUCUUUUGACGAGGUAAACACACCUGCGUUUGGAUUUAAGCCAAACCCAUUUCAUUUUAGAUAAAUCAUCCAGGCACAUGUUUAAACUGAAGCAAAACAAGAAUCCACACAGCAGUGUACCAGUAUAACUACAUCAGCAACAAAGAAAAAAACACUGCAGUGUUAUUUCUCUUUUCCCCUCCAUCUUCAUGUUGUAACUUGAAAGGGUCUCAAGUUCUGGAGGCCACUCACAAAGGAGUAAUACUGUAUGCAGUAUGGACUUGGCUGGUACAGAUUUGAUUUUCUCUGCAUAAGAAAUAUUUCUACUUCUAUCAGUGUGAGAAGAGACAUUCACAUAUUUCUCAUAAGCUCUGGAAGGUGACAAGCACAGCCAGAGCUUGCUUUUGGUUGCAGUCAGAAGCAGCAGGAACUUCAUUGCAGUUAGUUGAAUUACACCAAAUUUAUGUGCCAUGGGUAAAAUCAGUGUGUUGGCUCCAGAGCAGGCAUGGUGAUAACACCAAUGGGUCACAGCAGAUUUGGUGCUGCUGAAGAGCACCUAAGCCACCCCAGCCUUGCGCUAGAGCCCUAGCUCUGGUAUAGGCACCUCCUGCUCCAUCAGGAAAAAUUUUCCUGAAGAGCUUAUCUAGAAAAAAGAGCUAUAGGAAGCAUUUCUGCCAUCAAGUGAUUUCUUCACUGCUAGAAUAUCUUCCUGGCAAUGCCAGUUUUCUAACACAGAGCAAGUCGCAGAUUACUGCACCAGAGCCUAAGGAUUGCAUCAGAUCUGCUUUCAAUUCAAGACAAGGCUCACGUGAAAGUCACUUUCAACUGUUUCUCUCUACUAAGGGAGAACACUUCUGUGCACCUCGGGCCUCAGCCAGAACUUGAUCCACUGUGAAUGACUUCGUGUCAUUCAGUAAGUGACACACACACUUUAAAGCAGAGCACUUUCCCCCUUUUAUCAAAGCUAUACUGUAAGUUACAUCUCCUGCUGAGACAUGUGCCCACUGCACUGCUAGGUAGAUAAGCAAGGUGCAAAAUGACUGCAGUUCCUUCUCUACUCAUUUUGCUUUUUUUCUAAACACAGCAUUCCUCGAUACCAAAUCUCUAGUUUAGAUAAAGGAAAAAGUCUGUGGAGUUAAUUGCAUUAAUUAAAAACCUCAUCGACUAAAUGGUUCACAGAAAGUCUGAGCUCAUUGCCGUUUUCUUCGAAGUAUGUUAUAUAAGCAUCAAUUACAAGAACAUCAAGUUUAAAUAAAAAUCAGAAGCAAAGUUAUUUCAUUUUGGACAGAGGAAACAGCUUCUUGGUAGAGGCAGGCAGAGAUCACAGCAUGCAUGGAAAUAGCUGCGGCACAGGCAGCUCACUGCCAGCAUCACAAAGGAGGCAGGGUGUGAUCCAGCACUAAAUUAAUCAGUGCUUCCAGCACAGAGCUAAGAGUUAUGGAACAGGCAGGUAGAUGUUUCGGUUACUUUUUUAAUGUUGCUUCCACUUAUGUAUUUUAGGAAUUCACUGACAUCUGCUAUAUAUAUUUUUUCCAUUAAUUUCUAAUAGCUGGAAUUCCACUAGAGCUGUUUUAAAUAUAACUAACAUGUUUUAUCCAAGCAAUAUUUAUUAUUAUGGACAAUUUCUGCACCUGCUAAUUGAGACAGGGUUCAAGUUUUUGGAAAUAUUAUUAUGUGGAUUGAAUAUUGUAAUAAUAGGCAGCUAUUUGAUACAUAUGGUUAGAAAUAAAUAGAUUUGUA
ensembl:lncRNA